rnacentral:rRNA from 1 species
AGAGUUUGAUCCUGGCUCAGGACGAACGCUGGCGGUGCGCCUAAUGCAUGCAAGUCGAACGGGUUCAUGUACCAGCUUGCUGGAACAUGCGCUAGUGGCAGACGGCUGAGUAACACGUAAGUGACCUGUCCCGGAGCGGGGGAUAAGCCGGAGAAAUUCGGUCUAAUACCCCGUACGUCCCAGCGAUUGCGGUCGUUGGUAGAAAGGUUGCCCCGACUUGUCGGGGUCGCCGCUCCGGGAGGGGCUUGCGGCCUAUCAGGUAGUUGGUGGGGUAAAAGCCUACCAAGCCAUAGACGGGUAACCGGUGUGAGAGCAUGAUCGGUCAGAGGGGGACUGAGACACGGCCCCCACUCCUACGGGAGGCAGCAGCAGGGAAUCUUGCGCAAUGGGCGAAAGCCUGACGCAGCGACACCGCGUGGGGGAUGAAGGCCUUAGGGUUGUAAACCCCUUUUCUCGGGGAAGAGGACGGACGGUACCCGAGGAAUAAGGAUCGGCUAACUACGUGCCAGCAGCCGCGGUAAUACGUAGGAUCCGAGCGUUGUCCGGAUUUACUGGGCGUAAAGGGUGCGUAGGCGGCGUGAUAAGUCCCAUGUGAAAUCUCCCGGCUUAACUGGGAGGGGUCAUGGGAAACUGCCACGCUCGAGGGCAG